AUGAACGCUGGCGGCGUGCUUAACCCCUGCAAGUCGCACGAAGCACCUCUCCCGAAGAUUGACACAGCUUGCUGUAGAUUGAUUCAUUUGAGGUGACUGAGUGGCGGACGGGUGAGUAACGCGUGGGUAACCUGCCUCAUAGAGGGGGACAACAGUUGGAAACGACUGCUAAUACCGCAUAGUAAGAAGAAUUCGCAUGUUUUCUUCUUGAAAGAUUUAUCGCUAUGAGAUGGACCCGCGUCUGAUUAGCUAGUUGGUAAGGUAACGGCUUACCAAGGCGACGAUCAGUAGCCGGCUUGAGAGAGUGAACGGCCACAUUGGGACUGAGACACGGCCCAAACUCCUACGGGAGGCAGCAGUGGGGAAUAUUGCACAAUGGGGGAAACCCUGAUGCAGCGACGCCGCGUGAGUGAAGAAGUAUUUCGGUAUGUAAAGCUCUAUCAGCAGGGAAGAUAAUGACGGUACCUGACUAAGAAGCCCCGGCUAACUACGUG
rnacentral:rRNA from 1 species